rnacentral:rRNA from 1 species
GAUGAACGCUGGCGGCGUGCCUAAUACAUGCAAGUCGAGCGAACGGACGAGAAGCUUGCUUCUCUAAUGUUAGCGGCGGACGGGUGAGUAACACGUGGAUAACCUACCUAUAAGACUGGGAUAACUUCGGGAAACCGUAGCUAAUACCGGAUAAUAUUUUGAACCGCAUGGUUCAAAAGUGAAAGACGGUCUUGCUGUCACUUAUAGAUGGAUCCGCGCUGCAUUAGCUAGUUGGUAAGGUAACGGCUUACCAAGGCAACGAUGCAUAGCCGACCUGAGAGGGUGAUCGGCCACACUGGAACUGAGUCACGGUCCAGACUCCUACGGGAGGCAGCAGUAGGGAAUCUUCCGCAAUGGGCGAAAGCCUGACGGAGCAACGCCGCGUGAGUGAUGAAGGUCUUCGGAUCGUAAAACUCUGUUAUUAGGGAAGAACAUAUGUGUAAGUAACUGUGCACAUCUUGACGGUACCUAAUCAGAAAGCCACGGCUAACUACGUG